AUGGGGUUUAUUUCAUUGAGUUAUAAUAUGAUAGUUGAAUUUUUUAUAAGGUAAUAUAAUUUAUUAUGUUUACAAGAUAUCACAAUCUGAGAUGAUUAGAAAUGAUACUUUAAUAUUAUCCGCGCAUUGUGCGAAUACGUAUACAUGUACAUAUAAACGAAUUACUUAGUAUUGGUAAAAUAUCAAAUAACUAAUGGAAUAAAUCAUUUGCCUUCUUUUCUUAUACAUACACAUACACAUAAAUUAUAAAGAUAAAGAGUCUUUGUAACGCCUAAAAAAAAACUGAUGUCAUGAUGACACUUAUCAUAGAUCAACCUUGAUAAGAAAACCAAUUGUCACGACUCUACCUCGUCGUGAGUGGCACCCAUACCUUCAACUUAAGAUGAUUGCUUGUCCUUAAACAACUUAACACAAUAUCAUAUAUGCAUCCAGAUCACAAAAGAAUGAGCAACUGUUGGAAUUAGUAAGGACUAACGCUAUAGCAUAUAGACAAGUUCUGUAAUCCUAAGUCAAAGUGAUCCAUGCUUGGCAUUACACUCUAGCUACAUUACAUGCAUACACAUAAAAUACCUAAUCCGAGAAUCAUCAAUUACAAGUAUCAUUCACAUGCUCUCACCUCAAAGAAGUUCUUCUCACACUGAUCCAUUUACUUCAAGGACUAUUAUUCAAAUCCCUCACUCUCACAACAAACUUCAAAUAGUGCAUACAUAAAGCCAUAGGCUUGCCUUAACAUUCUACUAAGUACUAUAGCUGGUUUACAAAGAUCAUUGCAGGACUUAACUAUGCUUCUAAUGAAAGCUUGGGUGCAGGUAAAAAUCUUUUUGGGAUGGUGACUCGGCCUUUCUUGACAUCGUUGCCACUUAUUAGCAUUUAUUUUUACUUUAUUCUACCCUCUUAGUGCCCCAAAAUCUAAAAAAUAAAUGUAUAUGUAUGUGUGUGUGUGUGUGUGUGUAUAUAUAUAUAUAUAUAUUAUACAACUUCUACCACUCUUAAUUCAACUUAUUCAUUAAACUCUUCACACUAGCUACCUUCAACUUAUGCUAUUACAAUAAGUUGAGGUGCACAAUAUCCGCAAAGGACCAGGUCCUAUGUAAAGGUUUAUACCAAGAGGUUUCUUCAACCUCUUUCUACACUCGUUAACUCUCUAUAGUAGCCACCCUUAAUUUAGGCAAUUUUCCUGAGUUGAAGUUCACAAUGUUCAAAAAAGGAUUAGGGCCAAAACAAAGAUUUAACAAUAAAGAAGGGAAUAUUAAAGGUGUUAAAUACAAAGUUAUUAGCUUAAAAGAGGAUCAAGGGAAUAUACAAAUAACUACAUUGUUGUUAGGGUUAUAAGGCUAAGCGGACUCAUUUGAAAUAAGGCCUGUGAUCCUAUCUUAUUUAACCAACUAUGUAACGCCCAGGUGUUGGUCACUGAAUAUUCAGAGUUUUUAAACUCACUUUCCUGACUACGACUCACCUUGUGAGUCAUAACCUGUCAUUUCAGCUCAUAGGACCUCAAUUGUAGAGAGUCAAGUAAAGGUAGCCCAAGUCAUUGUCCUGAUUAUGAGUGGCUUCUAAUGAGUUGUAAAGACUCUAAAUGAUUUGUAUUGUCCUAUCCGUAUCCAAACCAGUGUGUGCCCCAAGUAUUUCUGUCUUGACUACAACUUGGACCUUAUGACUAGUAGGGUCACGCGAUGAAUCAUAUGGUAUGAAUCAUAGGGUAAUCAAAGAAGGGUUCUUUAGCUACUGUUUUAAAAUAAUUAAACUACAUGAUAAAAAAGGUCUAAAGAGCGGGGGCUGGGGCUGGGGCGGGGGCUGGGAGAGAGAACUUUUAAAAAAAUUAUAAAAAAAAGAAGGUAAUACACAUAUUAAUAUUCAUAAAUUAAAUUGAUGAGAUGUGAAUAAUAAAAUAAAACUUUAGCUAAUCAUUAUUAACUAGCUAACAACUUUAAAUUAUGAAUAAUAUAAUAAAGAAAAAUAUGAAACAUAAUUGUAUUUUGAUAAUUAGAUGAUUUUUAUGGGGGAUGGGGUUUAUUUCAUUGAGUUAUAAUAUGAUAGUUGAAUUUUUUAUAAGGUAAUAUAAUUUAUUAUGUUUACAAGAUAUCACAAUCUGAGAUGAUUAGAAAUGAUACUUUAAUAUUAUCCGCGCAUUGUGCGAAUACGUAUACAUGUACAUAUAAACGAAUUACUUAGUAUUGGUAAAAUAUCAAAUAACUAAUGGAAUAAAUCAUUUGCCUUCUUUUCUUAUACAUACACAUACACAUAAAUUAUAAAGAUAAAGAGUCUUUGUAACGCCUAAAAAAAAACUGAUGUCAUGAUGACACUUAUCAUAGAUCAACCUUGAUAAGAAAACCAAUUGUCACGACUCUACCUCGUCGUGAGUGGCACCCAUACCUUCAACUUAAGAUGAUUGCUUGUCCUUAAACAACUUAACACAAUAUCAUAUAUGCAUCCAGAUCACAAAAGAAUGAGCAACUGUUGGAAUUAGUAAGGACUAACGCUAUAGCAUAUAGACAAGUUC
rnacentral:lncRNA from 1 species